GGAUGUGACAGUAAUCUGGCUGCACCAUCUGUCACCCCAUGAUCGCCAGCAUUGAUUGGGCUGCCCUGGCUGGCUAUGCAGGGGUCCCCUUCCUCCCUCACCACUCCAUGUGCAUCCUACCCAAAGCUGCAUCCUAGGUCAAAGAGGACAACCUUCCCUGACAGAGGAAGACCGUUCUUGGGUCAAGGGUAUAGGAGUAGCUGUACUCCACUGCUAGAAUCUCCAAACAAGCUCUGAAGACCUAGCUACACCUUUUCUUGAUGCCAGCACUUCACAACAAAGACCACCUGUCAAACUAACAUGUCACUGUGUUUUAUAAAAAAAUGAUCACUUCUAU
ensembl:misc_RNA 7SK 7SK RNA